UACGAAGGGGGCUAGCGUUGCUCGGAAUUACUGGGCGUAAAGGGCGCGUAGGCUGUUUGGUUAGUUAGGCAUGAAAUUCCUGGGCUCAACCUGGGGGCUGCGCUUAAUACAGCCAGACUAGAGUGUGAAAGAGGGUCGUGGAAUUCCCAGUGUAGAGGUGAAAUUCGUAGAUAUUGGGAAGAACACCGGUGGCGAAGGCGGCGACCUGGUUCAUUACUGACGCUGAGGCGCGAAAGCGUGGGGAGCAAACAGG
rnacentral:rRNA from 1 species